rnacentral:rRNA from 1 species
CCUACGGGUGGCUGCAGUAGGGAAUAUUGCGCAAUGGGGGAAACCCUGACGCAGCAACGCCACGUGAGUGAGGAAGGCCUUCGGGUUGUAAAGCUCUGUCCUAAGGGAAAAAUGGCAGAUUAUCUAAUAGGUAGUUUGCGUGAUGGUACCUUAGAAGAAAGCACCGGCUAACUUCGUGCCAGCAGCCGCGGUAAUACGAAGGGUGCAAGCGUUGUUCGGAUUUAUUGGGCGUAAAGCGCGCGCAGGCGGAAGAGCAAGUCAGAUGUGAAAUCUCG